rnacentral:rRNA from 1 species
UACGAAGGGGGCUAGCGUUGUUCGGAAUUACUGGGCGUAAAGCGCACGUAGGCGGCAUUCCAGGUUGGAGGUGAAAUCCCCGGGCUUAACCUGGGAACUGCCUCCAAAACUGGGAAGCUCGAGUCCGAGAGAGGUGAGUGGAAUUUCCAGUGUAGAGGUGAAAUUCGUAGAUAUUGGAAAGAACACCAGUGGCGAAGGCGGCCAUCUGGGACAACGCUGACGCUGAAGCACGAAAGCGUGGGGAGCAAACAGG